UAAAAGGAAAAGCAGGUGAAAG
rnacentral:piRNA from 1 species